AACGAACGCUGGCGGCAGGCUUAACACAUGCAAGUCGAACGGGUGUAGCAAUACAUCAGUGGCAGACGGGUGAGUAACACGUGGGAACCUUCCUAGGGGCACGGAACAACGCAGGGAGACUUGAGCUAAUACCGUAUACGUCCGCGAGGAGAAAGAUUUAUCGCCCCUAGACGGGCCCGCGUCGGAUUAGCUAGUUGGUGGGGUAACGGCCUACCAAGGCGCCGAUCCGUAGAUGAUCUUAGAGGAUGAUCAGCCACACUGGGACUGAGACACGGCCCAGACUCCUACGGGAGGCAGCAGUGGGGAAUCUUGGACAAUGGGCGCAAGCCUGAUCCAGCCAUGCCGCGUGAGUGAAGAAGGUCUUCGGAUUGUAAAGCUCUUUUGCCAGGGACGAUAAUGACGGUACCUGGAGAAUAAGCCCCGGCAAACUUCGUGCCAGCCGCCGCCGUAA
rnacentral:rRNA from 1 species